rnacentral:rRNA from 1 species
UGGGGAAUUUUGGACAAUGGAUGCAAGUCUGACCCAGCCAUGCCGCGUGCCGGAUGAAGGCCCUCAGGGUUGUAAACGGCUUUUAUUCGGGAAGAAGAGCAGGGAUGCGUCCUUGUGUGACGGUACCGAAUGAAUAAGCACCGGCUAACUCCGUGCCAGCAGCCGCGGUAAUACGGAGGGUGCGAGCGUUGUCCGGAUUUAUUGGGUUUAAAGGGUGCGUAGGUGGCUGUUUAAGUCAGUGGUGAAAUACGGUUGCUCAACAAUCGAGGUGCCAUUGAUACUGAAUAGCUUGAAAUAAUUGGAGGCUGCCGGAAUGGAUGGUGUAGCGGUGAAAUGCAUAGAUAUCAUCCAGAACACCGAUUGCGAAGGCAGGUGGCUACGAUUGGUUUGACACUGAGGCACGAAAGCAUGGGGAGCAAACA